rnacentral:rRNA from 1 species
CCUACGGGAGGCAGCAGUGAGGAAUAUUGGUCAAUGGACGAGAGUCUGAACCAGCCAAGUAGCGUGAAUGAUGACUGCCCUAUGGGUUGUAAACUUCUUUUAUAUGGGAAUAAAAUGUUCCACGUGUGUGAUUUUGUCUGUACCAUAUGAAUACGGAUCGGCUAACUCUGUGCCAGCAGCCGCGGUAAUACGGAGGAUCCGAGCGUUAUCCGGAUUUAUUGGGUUUAAAGGGAGCGUAGGUGGAUUGUUAAGCCAGUUGUGAAAGUUUGCGGCUCAACCGUAAAAUUGCAGUUGAAACUGGCAGUCUUGAGUACAGGAGAGGUAGGCGGAAUUCGUGGUGUAGCGGUGAAAUGCUUAGAUAUCACGAAGAACUCCGAUUGCGAAGGCAGUUCACUGGACUGCAACUGACACUGAGGCUCGAAAGUGUGGGUAUCAAACAGGAUUAGAUACCCGAGUAGUC